rnacentral:rRNA from 1 species
CACGUAGGGGGCAAGCGUUGUCCGGAAUUAUUGGGCGUAAAGAGCUCGUAGGCGGUUCGUCACGUCGGGAGUGAAAACUCGGAGCUUAACUCCGAGCCUGCUUCCGAUACGGGCAGACUAGAGGUAGGCAGGGGAGAGCGGAACUCCUGGUGUAGCGGUGGAAUGCGCAGAUAUCAGGAAGAACACCGGUGGCGAAGGCGGCAUCCUGGACCAACACUGACACUGAGGAGCGAAAGCCAGGGGAGCAAACGGG